rnacentral:lncRNA from 1 species
CAGUAGAUAAAGCAACACAAGAUCGAACAAGACCAAGUACCGCUAGGGUGAAAGUAAUCCUUGACCUUUUAAACAAACAUCCUAAGCGAGUUAAAAUUCUAGUUGUUGAUAAAUGUACUAGGAAAUCUGUUCACCACUUCCAAGAGAUUGAGUAUGAUAAACUCCCAAGUUUUUGUACAUAUUGUAAAUAUCAAGGACAUCACGAAAAGUCAUGUCGUGUGCAGGCUGGAAAAACAAAAGCAGAGGAUGCAGAGGCGAGCGUUCAGGGGAAUUCUCAGGAUGAAGGCCUGCAAACCAUUGAAGUGAGUAGUGAGGUUCAGUUAAAUAUAAAUGCCAGAGAUAUCUUGAAUACAAAAAGAGCAGGGCAAAUUGAUGAGCAAGGAAGAGAAGAGGAUCUGGCAACUACUUUUCCAUCUAAUGCUGUUAAAGAUCGAUCUGAGUUUGUGGAAUCUACUGAUGUAUCUAAGGAAUUUAGGGUGCAGGAUGGUUUUGAAGUGUUGGAGUGUGCACCUAAUCCACGACCAAAGAAUGUGGUUAAGGAUCUUAAAUUGCAAGUUCUAGAUCGAGCAACCAAUGUUCUAAAGCUGUAUGCUAAUCUCUCAAAGAAUGCAAUUGGGAGUCGAUCUAAUGCAGCAAGGAAAUCUGUUGCUGUGGAUAUUUUAGUACCUGGUGCUAGUUCAAAAGGAGCAGAUGGUCAUGUUAAGGUGAUGGGACAUGUAACAUCUCAGUGGAAAGAAGUUAAGAACAAUAGAGGUCAAUACAAAAACAAACAAAAGGAAGGUAUUGGUGCAGAUGGAAAACAAAUUUCAAUUGUGAAUAAAGCUGCAGUACAACAGGUGAAGGAAGCAUUUGGAACUGCUAACAAAUUUUCGAUGUUACAAAAUGACAAUGAUAACAAUGUGGAAAAGGAGGCAGAGGAUCGAACUGAUUUUUCUGCAUUACCAGCAAAAUGUACUGUUCCAUUGAGUGUUUCUAGUGAUCGAGCUGUCAUUGGGGAUAUAGGUUCAAUCGACUGUGCUGAUGAAUGUGAUCGAGCUCAAUAUCAUACAGGUACAACCGGUAAUCAUAAACACCAAGACCAAUAGCCAUAGAAAAAAGCACACCUAACAGAUGUGUGUGUGUAUAAAAGAAAUGUUUCAAACCAGUAAAAGAGAAUAGUAUGCAUUGAUCGCUAAACCAAACAAACUUUCAGUUAUACUCGUAAGAUGCCUACGUAACUCAAAGCUGCUGCAGACCAAAUCAAUGCAAAACUUACGCUUAAAAUUGUGCAAAUAUGCUGCCCCAACAGUACGAAACCAUGUAGAUUUUCAGCAUGCCUAACAGUCCAAACAAAUGUCCCAAAACGUUGUACAUUAUCUGCUCAAUAUACUACUAAAGCUUGUUAGAAUAACAUAAGAAAAACAGUUUCCAUUUAUAUGAUUCAAACUAAUUUACUGCUGUACCAUCUAUGAAAUCAGAAACAGGAGGGAUUGAAGGUGGAACCUAAUUUUUAUAUUAAUAGUUGCACAAACAAAUUGAUUCGAGCUCUAUAUGACUCGAACUAAAUGGAUCUAUUGAUUAAGCGCAGCUUGGUGUAUCAUCCGAUUUCAAAGCUUCCAAUAAACUAAAAUUUACUCACUUAUCUUCCAUCAUUACAAAAAGUAGCGAUCACAGGGACGCCCAGCAAGUAAAAACAAGCAGAUUCAAGGCUAUGAGACCUCCAAACGCGUAGAUGAAACAGAACUCAUGCACCAUUAGAGACUAACCGAACUAGUCGCUGCCUACAAACUACGACCCGUGACUACUAACGCUCAAAUUUAACACACACCAUAAAACUGCCAAUUCGAACAGGUAUUAAACGUACCCCAAACAGUAAGCAAAUUCACAAAGGAGGAUAAAGAAGAAAGAAGGGGCCAGAGUAACAUAAACCGACAACUUACCAAACUGCAUUAAGAUAAAGGGGAAAUAACAGGCUUGUCAAUGACGAAUUACUUUUAAUAGAAUCAAAAGAAACACAUGAAUAUAGAUUCAACGACCAACUCCAAAUCAUAUAAUCAUCGCAAAAACUCAAACAGAAACGCAAACACGCCUUGAAUCGGCAAACGAAACUCGAACUCCAACUAACUCCAACCAACCUCAAUCGAAUUCCAUCGUUGGAAAAUCGAAUCAAAAGGCCAAAUACAUAUAUUUUGUGUCUUGUACUUAAUUUGGAAAAUCAGAGGACCAAGCUUAAAAUAAACUCUCAAAUCAAAAAACGACUAACAAAGAAAUCAGAAAAGAGUAAACCAAGCAAACUAGCCUUCAAACCAUCUGGAAACCAACCUCCAAACAUUUAAACACAGAAAAGAAAUCGAUUACGGCCAGGCACCGAAAGAAGAAGCAAACGAACAUACAAUUACAUGUUUGAUGGAUCUGAGAUUAGAGAACCGUAUGAACAUCAGAAAAGAAAUCGAUUACGGUCAGGCACUGAAAGAAGAAGCAAACGAACACACAAUUACAUCUUUGAUGGAUUCUGAGAUUAGAGGACUGUAUGAACAUACAUUAACUCACAUAUGAAGUCGUAGAAAGAAGCUAAAAACCUCAGUUAUUACUUCAUCAUGCUGUUCUGCUUUUUUGUUCAUAUGUGAUAUUCCUUAUGCUCUAUGUGUAAUGGAAACCCUAAGUUUUAAGUGAGUUUUACAUUUUAUGUCUGUGAAACCCGAGCCGCCUCUAAUUCUCCCUUGUGUGUUUCUGCUACAUGUUAUUCUACUACUUCCAGUUUAUCCAUGCUCGAAUCUAUGUAUCUUUUU